UACAGAGGGUGCAAGCGUUAAUCGGAAUUACUGGGCGUAAAGCGUGCGCAGGCGGUUGCGUAAGUCAGAUGUGAAAGCCCCGGGCUCAACCUGGGAAUUGCAUUUGAGACUGCGUAGCUAGGGUGCGGAAGAGGGAAGCGGAAUUUCCGGUGUAGCGGUGAAAUGCGUAGAUAUCGGAAGGAACACCAGUGGCGAAAGCGGCUCCCUGGUCCAGCACUGACGUUCAGGCACGAAAGCGUGGGGAGCAAACAGG
rnacentral:rRNA from 1 species